rnacentral:lncRNA from 1 species
CCCCCAAAUAUUCGGAGGUUCCUUGCACCUGCCAGAUAAGCAAGCUUCCUUACUUACCGGGUAAGAUUGCCAGAAUCUCUGUAAACAAGGUACCAGGCCCAUGUUUCCAAGUGGCUGUAUUCCAGAAAGUCCAAUCUUUGUUCCUGAAAUGCUGUCUUGUCAUAUCUGAGCCUGUAUGUUUAAAAUAUGACAUUGCGGUCAAAGGCUUGGUAAUAUAACCAAUGUGUCCUGUUAUAAGGAGAACAGAUUCUUAUUGAACUUAUGCAAAUAACUAUAUUGCCACAAAAUAACCAUACUCACUCAUAAAGAGUUUCCAAAUUCUAGAGGGAUCAGGUAGGGAGAAAAAGAUAAGUGUUUCAGUUCUGCUCAUAAAGGUAUAAUUUCACCAAAUUGCUGUAAGCCAUAAUUAGCAUAAGAGAAAAGAGAAAAAGAUUUCCUUAAAUAUGAGAAAAUAAAACAACACAUCAAAACUCAACAAUAUUUCAAACAGAAGUCAUAAAAAGUUAUAAUCAUCCUCAUCAGUUCACACAGUCUUGUAUAAUUGAUUCUUGAGCUUAAUCUUCUGUUAGCAGAUCUAUGAGCUCAGUUUCUGUUAGAAUUCUGUAAUUUCUUACCCAGUUCAGUUUUACACUCUGAAAGUUUAUCAGAAACCUGUAGUUUAGAACCUUUGUGUCAGAAUCCUUUCCAGGAAUUUCUCUGAAGAUGAAACAUAUUUGCAAAAGCAAAGCAUCACAGUAAAACAGCAACUAUCUGCAAAUGACAAAAGACUCAAAAAGGCAAAUGAGAAAGAAACUUGGCUACUUCUGUGACAUACAACACUUUAAGAUAAUAACUGGAAUUAUGACUGAUAACCAGAACAGAUUAGAAUUUUAGGAGUGCUAUAUAAUGUUAAGACACGUAUAUUAAUAACACUCACCCACAUAACACCACAUAAGAAAGUUUGUCAUCGCUCAUUUGACAAUGCUUCCCAUGUAAUUGAAUAGACCAAAUAAGCCUAAUUAGUUUAGUAUUUUCAAAAGAAACCCUUCUGUUCAGGACUUGAAUAUUUUUGAUGAGAAGCUUGUCAAAAAUAUCAAAAGACUUUAAAACACUUGUUCAAACAACGCUCACUGUGAAACAAUGCUCAGGUAUCUAUUUAAAGUGACAACAGAAACAAUCAAAAAUCUUAAGAGUGACCUCAGUCAUUAUUUUAACAAAACAGAUUUAUCUUUUAGGUAGACUUAUUCAAAGGAACACCUUUUAUAACCUCUUUAUCAAGAGCAGACCAAAAGUUCAGGAAAAUUAUCUUGAGAGAAAAACCAAAUUUUAAUUUCUGCACCAGCUUAUUAUUAAAACUCAUUUACUUAGUUGGAUUUACUUUAAUCUACUUGACUAGGCAUAAAACUCCUUUCAGACUUUCUCCUUCACAAACCUUCUAUAACUUUCUUUUUGCCUUCAGAAUUUGUCCCAAAGUCUUUCUUUUUUCCUUUCUAGUACAUUAGGACAAAUUUAUCUUUUUUAACCCAUCAAACAAAAAUACUUGCAUUCUUUAUACCCUCUUUACUGAAAACAUACAUUUUAACUUUCCUUGAAUACAGAGCUGUUUUCCUUAUUAAUUCCCAGUAGCUUUAAUUAUAUAUGUUAAUUAGAACUUUUAACCAUUAACAGACCCUAGUAAACACUAAAAGGUAAGCAAUUACAAAUUGUCUUUUAUAUCAGCAUUCUAAACACUUCAUAAUUUCUAGAAACACGCCGCUUUACAGUAACAGACCCAAAGACUUUUAGCCCCUCUGCAAUAAGAAGCCAAAAGUAGAUAACUUAGAUAUGUUUAGCUGUAAUGCUUGUGUGCUAUCCAAUCCAAAAAUGACCCAGAUGCUCAGAUUUUUAUCAUUUAACUUAACUUGGCAAAACUCAAGGUUGUUCUCAAAAAGAAUUUGGAAGCUGUUUUUUUUUUUCAAGUAUACAGACCAUAAAACAGUUAUUGUACCCACAAAAACUUCAUGAGACAUUAGACAAAACUGGUCAUCAUUUAAAGCUAUUAUUUUGCUGAUGAAUUUAACAGACAAUGUGAGCUUAUUUGACUAGUAAACCCAGGCUGCAUGCCUGCAUCAUAGGCAAAUACCGACAACUCUGACAACAAGACUAUUUUCAAUCAGACCAACGAACUUAAACAAGCUUUCAUUUACCAAAGGUUAAUUCACAUCACGUUAACUUGAAAGACAUUGGAUUAAUUUCUACUACAUUUAGAAUUUAUGUAAGUGCUUACUUUAAGCCAAUUAAACCGAGCUCUUAAUUUUGGCCAUACCAUCCGGAGGUAAAAUAUCACACAUAUAACGUACAUAAGACACACAUACACAGAGACUGCACAGCUAUUGUUUUUUACCAAUAUUUGUGGAGAAGAUACUCAAGAUGCUAGAUUUUUUGCAAGGGCACGCUUAUGGCCAUUUUUCCUCUCCCCUCCUCUCUCUCUCUCUUUUUUUUUUCCUUCAGUCUUAGGAAUCAGUGAUGGGCUAGAUAGUAGCUCCUGGAGAGGGGAGAUGAUAAUCCUUUUCGUGAUAAAGAAACUGGGUGGAAUCUGAACUGCCUCUAGAGCUGUAUUUCCAGUCUUGCAAGGAUUUUCUAAGGACAGUUGCUCUUGAUUUCCCAGAAACUGGACUGUAACUUGAAUGACGUGCUAGGUUGAUCUACCUGUCCAACUGCACCAUAAAAGCACAGAGAAACCUCUCAAGUUUUCUCCCGGCUGGAAUUUCUGGGGCAUAACCCAUCCAAUUGAAAGUGUUUCUAAUUAGUUAGAAUGCACCCGAGUGGUGAGUCUCUGGGGAUGCUUAGGGCGUUCCCCAAGGCGGUAAAGCCAGUGUCCGACUGACAGUGAACUGGAGAAGGGUGCAGAGUCUGAUUGCGGGUGUCAACAUAGUUAUAAGAUUUAAUCAACGCCCACUUAGCCGGCGCAACUUUGUCCCUGAGCCCGCACAAGGGGAGCUAGGGAAGCAGGAAGCAAAGGCCUGGAACUGGCUGGAGGUCGGGGCUCCCAGUGCCAGGGUUGAAAGUUAAGUCCCUGGCACAAGGUUUUCAAGUUUUCGAUUUUACAGAAGGUCCAGGUUCUGGUCAGGUCCAGCCUGAACUUAACCUCGACUUGGUGACGACAGAGGAGAUGAUGAACGAAACAGACAAAGAAAGGAAAAGAAGAGAUCAGACCUCACCCUCAUGGCCUCUUCCUGAGGGUUAUCAAGAUAAGAGUCACACAACAGUUCCUGUGCAGGGCACACAACCCUAGCACGACAGUUCACAGAAUAAAUCACAGGUCUCCUACUCUCAUAGCCAAUUCAGUAGGUGACUAAAAUACUCAAUGAGUCAACCGUCAAGGGAGGGCACCCCACUUGGGGUCGCCGGGGUGAUCAGGCCCGGAAACCCAAAGUUGGGGCUCCCAGGGGUGGAGGCUUUGACUCUUGAAAGAUUUCUUUGUUUCCCGGUUGCAAAGCUCAAAAGGAGACAAAAAUGGCCAUUGUAACUCUAAGAAAGAUGAAAGAGAUGGGUCCAUUACUUUGAAAAUCCCUCCUGAACCUAGGGCAGCAUCCUACCCGUCGUUCCUACUGUGGGGUUCCUAUAGCAAGGGGUGAUGGGGGGGUCCUCCAGCAUUGCAUGCCUUGUAUACCUUCCUUGUUAUGCCUGGCAGUAACAGGUGCCUGGUGAAUGGUCCCAGAGAGAAAAGGAGCCAUUACCUUGAAAAUCCCCCCAGUGGGGUUCCUGUAGCAAGGAAUGAUGGGGGCAUCCCUUGAACAUCUUCCCUAUUAUGCCUGGCAGUAAUAGGUGCCUGGUGAAUGGUCCCCAGGAUAAAAGGAUAGAGAAAAACAGUGAGGAAUUUUCCGCCAGUCUGGGGGACAUUCUACCCAAUUGCAGCCUGGAGCCAUUCUCCCAAAAAGGGGUUCCCAUACUCCACCAAAGGUUAGAGUUUGGUACUUCCCUUGAAGUGGAGUCCCGAUUGGGACUUUCCCUCAGUUCAGAGCAUGGUCAGGUGCCAUGGGAGGGAUCCCAAUCCAGCCUUAGGAAAAGAAACCUUCCGUGGGAGUCUUGCAGAUUGGCGAACGUCCUAAUGACUUAAGUGGCCGACCCGCGCCCACGUAAAAUUUAUAUAUUAGAGAUAGAGUCAAGAAGGAAUGGAUUAAUUCAUUCUUCAUCGCCCUGAGGCUUAAGGUACUGAUUCUCUUCAAGCUGAAUGCCAUGAUUUUCCCCCUAGAGUAGCCAUGGGCAGCAAACGUGGAUUCAUACAGCCAUCCAAGAAAGUUCCCGAUGGAGAAGUGAAUUUAGAUCCAUCCUCGAAAAAGAGAAAGGCACAAGGAAAAAGGGCACUUACCAGAACUUGAGCUCACAAGCCGAUGAAGCAAGUUGCCCGUAUGGGCCACCAGAAAUGAUGUGGGGUCGGUGAGCCAAGGAGUCGAAAGAAAGAUUUCUUGGACUCUCAAGGCCUGGCAGUGGUGCUCUUUUAUUUAGAGAAUAGUACGGAAUAGCAUGGGGACAGGACCCAUGGGCAGUCAGAGCUCCUGCUGCUGCCCCGAGUUGAGGGUUAGGGCUAAAUUUAUAAGGCAUGGGUACGUGACUUAUUUUUACUGGAAAAAGAAAAGAUGAUGUAAAAAGUCAUUAAAUGAUUUCAGUGCAGAUGGGGUCUGGUUAUUGUGCGGUCAUAUAACUUUAGAUACGAAUCUGGCCAUAUAGAUCGGCAUGUAGGUGAGGAUGCCCUGGGCUUCUCUCCCUGGGGCAGCCCUAAUUCACACCAUAAAAAUCCACCAGGUCAUAUAGUUUGGCAUGUAGGCUAGGUCACCUUGGGCUUCUCUAGCUGGGGCUGCCUUAAUCCACAUCACAAGGAAGUGAGGUGUACAGAGUGGUUAUAUACCCCCAUACAGGACGUUUCACAUGUGAUUGAAAUGUCCCUCCCACAAUAGUCACAAGAUUGCCCUGUUGGCACAGCACUUGAUGGACAGAGCAGGUAGUGGGUCCGCUAUCUUGGUGGGCACAGCAGGAGGCAAGUCUAUUGUUUCCAGCUAGGCGGUCACAGGUGAGCGCAGCAAUCAGCUUCCAGCCUAAGGAAAGAUGCUUAAUCCUUAAAGAAAUGCCAAGGUUGGGAGGGGGAGGGAAGUUGCACCUUUAUCUCAAGGGCCUUUGCUCUUGCCAUAGGGAAUCUCUAAAGCAGAUAUACAACGCAUGCUCAACGGCCUCGGUCAGGCCCUUUUGGAAAGACAAGUUCAGGCAGAGUUAGGUUUACACCAAAUGGCUUCCUCAUAGUCUCCAAUAUAUCCUAUUGCUUGCCAUUUUUAUUUGUCACCUGUCUCCUGCCUCUGUCCCCAGGUCCACCAGCAUGGUACCCCAAGGACUGGGUCUCUGCUCUCACCAGGGACCACACUCCCCGGGAAGCCCUGAGCCACUCUGGGCUGGACAACUGGCCAUCCUGCCUCUGGCCUGUGCUGGGCCCGCUGAGCCCUCGGGACCCAGCAGGGUCAGAGCAGGACGACCGUCAGGGGCUCACAGGCCAGGCACGGGAGACAGGCUGUUCAGGGCCCGGGCUGGGGUGGGCCAUGAGGGGGCCCAGGGCCCAGGGCUGGCUCUGCUAACCCUGAAGUUUCCGCCUGGGCUGGCAGGAAGCCACACGGGCAAGCAGGCUCUCCCCCCCGGCCUGGCCCUAGACUCCACCCGACUCACACAGACACGGACUUUAUCUCCCAGGACAGGGAGGGGCUGAGGGUGGAGAUUAGCCACCUGCUGGGGGCUCCCACCCCAGGGCGGGAACAGCUCAGGCAUCCAAGAACAGCCGGGCCCCGGAAGCACCCUCACCCUGUGCUGGGGGCUCACCUUCGUCCCCUGAGUGGGGUUUCGGGGACGAGGCCCACCAGGAGCUGUUCUAUGGCUUUCCUGUCUGUCUGCUCCCCUACCCCAGGGCCAGGGACCCCUCAUUCCCUGGCUGCUGUCCCCUGCCCCCUGCCAGCAGGACGAGCUUUAGCACUUGGGCUUCCUGCUGCCUCGCUGGCUGAAAGAGAAAGAGAAACUGCAGCAGGAGCCAGCGAGGACAGCCUUCGGGGUGAUCUCAGGAAGUAUUCGUCUCCAGUCCCCAAGGGGGACCCUACGUCUAUGGAAAGGAGGAACCAGCGUCUAUGGAAAGGCGGGAUGCUGCUUCUACGGAAAGGGGGCCCAGCCACUUCAAGGAAACCCCGCCUCCCAGCAGUGCAUUCUGGGCGUGUCCACCCUCUGCCUGGGGCUGGGUCAGGCUGGUUUCCACCUGCACAGCCCUGCGCACGUCUCUGCAGAAGGUGACCCUUCCCCAAUCCCAGGAGGCUGGGGGUCGCUGAGUCCCCAUCGGGCUCCAAGAGAGACUUCUGGGAAAUGUUGAAGGUGGAGGGCUCCUCCUGCCCCUGGUUCAACAAGCAAACAGACGAUCCCAGCCCUCGGAAUGGGACCAGCACCCAGGGGGCCUUUGGGAGCAUCGGGGGCCUCCUGGCUCCACGUUGGGCAGCUGGGCCCCGGG